rnacentral:lncRNA from 1 species
UUCAAACUCAUUCAUAUCGAAGGUUACAUUGCUUUACAAAAUUCAGUCUCACUCUCUCGGCUUCGUGAUAAUAAUGUUGAAGUUGCGUCUUUUCUCAUUUACUUGAUGGUGUUGGUUACUUAGUUGAAGCAACCUUCUGCUGUGCAGGCCAUCACAUUGGAAGAGAUCCGAGAAACUACAGCAAAUAUGUAAUGCUAUCUUCUUGUAUUCAAACUCACCUGUCUUGAGUAGGUACCAAUGUAUGUAAAUCUGUAUCAUAAUAAUAUGGUAUAAGUUUUUAUUCCCAAUGACUUGAUAUCACGCAUUAUUUGAUUUACAAGUCUUCUUGAGCUAUGGAUCUGCCUUUCCAGUUCAUUAAUUUUAAUGAAAUUUGGAAUUCAAAAAUAAAAAUGUAGAAAUGUG